GACAGAGGGUGCAAACGUUUGUUCGGAAUUACUGGGCGUAAAGCGUGCGCAGGCGGUUCGCUAAGACAGAUGUGAAAUCCCCGGGCUUAACCUGGGAACUGCAUUUGUGACUGCAUGGCUAGAGUGCGGCAGAGGGGAUGGAAUUCCGCGUGUAGCAGUGAAAUGCGUAGAUAUGCGGAGGAACACCGAUGGCGAAGGCAAUCCCUGGGCCUGCACUGACGCUCAUGCACGAAAGCGUGGGAGCAAACAGG
rnacentral:rRNA from 1 species